rnacentral:rRNA from 1 species
UACCGCAUACGUCCUACGGGAGAAAGCAGGGGACCUUCGGGCCUUGCGCUAUCAGAUGAGCCUAGGUCGGAUUAGGUAGUUGGUGGGGUAAUGGCUCACCAAGGCGACGAUCCGUAACUGGUCUGAGAGGAUGAUCAGUCACACUGGAACUGAGACACGGUCCAGACUCCUACGGGAGGCAGCAGUGGGGAAUAUUGGACAAUGGGCGAAAGCCUGAUCCAGCCAUGCCGCGUGUGUGAAGAAGGUCUCGGAUUGUAAAGCACUUUAAGUUGGGAGGAAGGGCCAUUACCUAAUACGUGAUGGUUUUGACGUUACCGACAGAAUAAGCACCGGCUAACUCUGUGCCAGCAGCCGCGGUAAUACAGAGGGUGCAAGCGUUAAUCGGAAUUACUGGGCGUAAAGCGCGCGUAGGUGGUUUGUUAAGUUGGAUGUGAAAUCCCCGGGCUCAACCUGGGAACUGCAUUCAAAACUGACUGACUAGAGUAUGGUAGAGGGUGGUGGAAUUUCCUGUGUAGCGGUGAAAUGCGUAGAUAUAGGAAGGAACACCAGUGGCGAAGGCGACCACCUGGACUGAUACUGACACUGGGGUGCGAAAGCGUGGGGAGCAAACAGGAUUAGAUACCCUGGUAGUCCACGCCGUAAACGAUGUCAACUAGCCGUUGGGAGCCUUGAGCUCUUAGUGGCGCAGCUAACGCAUUAAGUUGACCGCCUGGGGA